UACGGAGGAUGCGAGCGUUAUCCGGAUUUAUUGGGUUUAAAGGGUGCGUAGGCGGACUGUCAAGUCAGCGGUAAAAUUGAGAGGCUCAACCUCUUCCCGCCGUUGAAACUGGUGGUCUUGAGUGGAUGAGAAGUACGCGGAAUGCGUGGUGUAGCGGUGAAAUGCAUAGAUAUCACGCAGAACUCCGAUUGCGAAGGCAGCGUACCGGCAUCCAACUGACGCCGAGGCACGAAAGCGUGGGGAUCAAACAGG
rnacentral:rRNA from 1 species